UAUUGAGUAAGUCAUCCUCUGCACACACACUCUCAGGGAUAUGGUAACCAUUCUUUCCUUUGACCCUUCAGGCCUCACGUGUACCAGCUCUCUGCUUUCCUUUGCCUUGGGACGUUCCAUCCCUGGAAGUUUCCCUGCCCACAUCUUUGUAGAGAGUCCAUUCUCCAAGCUUCAGUGUGUCAUCUGUGAGGACUGUGACCAACCUGGUACAUCGCCUCAGGGCAUUCAUUUCAGGCUCCUUCUAAAUGGUCAAGGUCUUUUGGGGGAAAGAGAUGCUUCAUUUAGAUUUAUUUUUUUGAGACACCAGACAAGCUGCUAUCAGUACAUGGAUGCCAAGAUGGUCCUUUAAUAAAGAAUUGUGGUUUAAGAAUUUCAACCAAAGGAUUAAUGUAUUAAACUGAAUAAUAGCAUCCAGACAGUAGCAAAGAUGAUGAUCAGAGUUGGUGAAAGAAAGAUUAUUGAUCAUCUGGCUCUAUCAGUCACAAACAGGGAAGAAGAAAACAAAAAGGAGGAAAAGGAGAUUAAAGAAACAAAAAAUAGUUUAGUAAUGCCAGCUGAUUCUGUUGCUAAUUAUAAAUCUUUGGCAAGAAGCCUUAGCUAUACAGUAACUCUCCAGUUAUCUGGUGGUCAGAUUUCCAGCAAUCUUUACCACUCAGAACACAGAUGAGAUCCUGGAAUUGUAUCUCUCAUAGCCCUGGCUGCAUAGGAACAACUUUCUUUUCUGGAUGCAUUCAGCUAUUCCCUGGAAGGUUUAUUAAACUGAUUAUGCAUAUACAUUUGAGAUUGCUUAUUUAAUAUAUCUGUUUGUCUGGAUUUUUAAAGCCCCUUUAAGUUCUUCUCCAGGUUACGGAGGGAAGUGGAAAUAGUGAGGGGGUAAAAUGCACUGGGGAUGGGGGAAGGACGUGCAGGUUAGCAGGC
ensembl:lincRNA